CUUCCCUCGAGCGGGGGAUAACCUUCCGAAAGGAGGGCUAAUACCGCAUAAAACCGCGGUCGUUCCGCCGACAUCGGUCAAAGCUGGCCUCUGCACGCAAGCCAGCACUUGAGGAUGAGCCCGCGGCCCAUCAGCUAGUUGGUAGUGUAACGGACUACCAAGGCUAAGACGGGUAGCUGGUCUGAGAGGAUGAUCAGCCACACUGGAACUGAGACACGGUCCAG
rnacentral:rRNA from 1 species